rnacentral:rRNA from 1 species
GGACUACCGGGGUAUCUAAUCCCGUUUGCUCCCCUGGCUUUCGCGCUGUCAGCGUCAGUGUCGGCCCAGCAACCCGUCUUCACCUCAGGUGUUCCUCUUGAUAUCUACGCAUUUCACCGCUACACCAAGAAUUCCGAUUGCCCCUUCCGCACUCUAGCAACACAGUAUCAGCUGACCGUUCCGAGUUAAGCUCGGAGAUUUCACAGCUGACUUGAAUUGCCGCCUACGCGCCCUUUACGCCCAGUAAAUCCGAACAACGCUUGCUCCCUACGUAUUACCGCGGCGGCUGGCAC